AUUGAACGCUGGCGGAAUGCUUUACACAUGCAAGUCGAGCGGCAGCGCGGGGCAACCUGGCGGCGAGCGGCGAACGGGUGAGUAAUACAUCGGAACGUGCCCAGACGUGGGGGAUAACUACUCGAAAGAGUGGCUAAUACCGCAUACGACCUACGGGUGAAAGCGGGGGACCGUAAGGCCUCGCGCUAUUGGAGCGGCCGAUGUCAGAUUAGGUAGUUGGUGGGGUAAAGGCCUACCAAGCCUUCGAUCUGUAGCUGGUCUGAGAGGACGACCAGCCACACUGGGACUGAGACACGGCCCAGACUCCUACGGGAGGCAGCAGUGGGGAAUUUUGGACAAUGGGCGCAAGCCUGAUCCAGCCACGCCGCGUGGGUGAUGAAGGCCUUCGGUUGUAAGACCCUGUCGGGAGGGACGGAAGUCAAUGACGGUACC
rnacentral:rRNA from 1 species